rnacentral:rRNA from 1 species
UGGGGAAUAUUGGACAAUGGGGGCAAUCCUGAUCCAGCCAUGCCGCGUGAGUGAUGAAGGCCUUAGGGUUGUAAAAGCUCUUUUCACCCGGGACGAUAAUGACGGUACCGGGAGAAGAAGCCCCGGCUAACUUCGUGCCAGCAGCCGCGGUAAUACGAAAGAGGGCUAGCGUUGUUCGGAAUCACUGGGCGUAAAGCGCACGUAGGCGGACCGUUAAGUCGGAGGUGGAAUCUGGGGCUCAACCCCAGAACUGCCUUCGAUACUGGCGGUCUCGAGUCCGGAAAGAGGUGAGUGGAACUGCCAGUGUAGAGGUGAAANUUCGUAGAUAUUGGCAAGAACACCAGUGGCGAAGGCGGCUCACUGGUCCGGUACUGACGCUGAGGUGCGAAAGCGUGGGGAGCAUNNGAUUAGAUACCCUGGUAGUCCACGCGUAAACGAUAAAUGCCAGCCGUCGGGCAGCAUGCU